rnacentral:lncRNA from 1 species
AUGGCUCUGGAAUGGCUCUCCGGCUGCUCCCGGGGUUUUUCCAUGGAUUUCUGGGAUUGCAGAGUUUGCCCAGGCUGAGGCGGCCGAGGUGGACAGCGGAGCUGCCAUGGACACGUCUGAGCCCACCAAGGUCAGAAUUCCCGCAAUUCCCGGAUCCUUCCGGCACCUCCCGACAUUCCCGACAUUCCCAUCCCGUCGUUCCCAUCGUUCCCAUCCCAUCAUUCCCAUCAUUUCCAUCAUUCCCAUCUCUUCAAUCCCAUCAAUCCCAUCAAUCCCAUCCCAUCAAUCCCAUCAUUCCCACCAAUCCCAUCAAUCCCAUCAUUCCCAUCCCAUCAUUCCCAUCAUUCCCAUCCCAUUCCCACCAUUCCCAGGACGGGAUCGAGCUCCUCCUCCAGCCCCGUCCAUCCCAAACCCCUCCCAGAUUCCCUGUUCUGGCUCCCGUGGGAUUUUUGGGAUCCCAAAUUCCCCUGGGAAUGAUCCCAAAUCCCCAGGAAUGAUCCCAAAUCCCUGGGAAUGAUCCCAAAUCCCCGGGAACGAUCCCAAUUCCCCGGGAACGAUCCCAAUUCCCCGGGAACGACCCCAAAUCCCCAGGAACGACCCCAAAUCCCCGGGAAUGACCCCAAAUCCCCAGGAACGACCCCAAAUUCCCGGGAACGAUCCCAAAUCCCCGGGGACGAUCCCAAAUCCCUGGGAACGAUCCCAAAUCCCCGGGGACGAUCCCAAAUCCCUGGGAACGAUCCCAAUUCCCCAGGAUGAUCCUAAAUCCUGAGGAACGAUCCCAAAUCCCCCCAGGAACGAUCCCAAAUCCC